rnacentral:rRNA from 1 species
CCCCUUAGAUGUUCUGGGCUGCACGCGCGCUACACUGAUGCACUCAACGAGUUUACGACCUUGCCCGAUAGGGUUGGGUAAUCUUUUUAAAAUGCAUCGUGAUGGGGAUAGAUUAUUGCAAUUAUUAAUCUUCAACGAGGAAUUCCUAGUAAGCGCGAGUCAUCAGCUCGUGCUGAUUACGUCCCUGCCCUUUGUACACACCGCCCGUCGCUCCUACCGAUUGAGUGCUCAGGUGAAUAAUUCGGACUGCAGCAAUGUUUGGAUCCCGAACGUUGCAGCGGAAAGUUUAGUGAACCUUAUCACUUAGAGGAAGGAGAAGUCGUAACA